rnacentral:rRNA from 1 species
CCCUUAGAUGUUCUGGGCUGCACGCGCGCUACACUGAUGCGUUCAACGAGUUUAUAACCUUGCCCGGUAGGGUUGGGUAAUCUUCUCAAAGCGCAUCGUGAUGGGGAUAGAUUAUUGCAAUUAUUAAUCUUCAACGAGGAAUUCCUAGUAAGUGCAAGUCAUCAGCUUGCGCUGAUUACGUCCCUGCCCUUUGUACACACCGCCCGUCGCUCCUACCGAUUGGAUGAUCCGGUGAAUAAUUCGGACUGCGGCGUUGCUCGGUUUCCGAGCUUCGCUGCGGGAAGUUUAGUGAACCUUAUCAUCUAGAGGAAGGAGAAGUCGUAACA